rnacentral:rRNA from 1 species
AGUGAACGCUGGCGGUAGGCCUAACACAUGCAAGUCGAACGGCAGCACAGUAAGAGCUUGCUCUUACGGGUGGCGAGUGGCGGACGGGUGAGGAAUACAUCGGAAUCUACUUUUUCGUGGGGGAUAACGUAGGGAAACUUACGCUAAUACCGCAUACGACCUACGGGUGAAAGCAGGGGAUCUUCGGACCUUGCGCGAUUGAAUGAGCCGAUGUCGGAUUAGCUAGUUGGCGGGGUAAAGGCCCACCAAGGCGACGAUCCGUAGCUGGUCUGAGAGGAUGAUCAGCCACACUGGAACUGAGACACGGUCCAGAGUCCUACGGGAGGAAGCAGUGGGGAAUAUUGGACAAGGGGCGCAAGCCUGAUCCAGCCAUACCGCGUGGGUGAAGAAGGCCUUCGGGUUGUAAAGCCCUUUUGUUGGGAAAGAAAAGCAGCAGGUUAAUACCCCGCUGUUCUGACGGUACCCAAAGAAUAAGCACCGGCUAACUUCGUG